UACGGGGGGAGCAAACGUUGUUCGGAAUCACUGGGCGUAAAGGGCGCGUAGGCGGCCAGAUAAGUGGGGUGUUAAAUCUCCCGGCUCAACCGGGAACCUGCACCUCAUACUGCCUGGCUUGAGUACAGCAGAGGAGACUGGAAUUCCCGGUGUAGCGGUGAAAUGCGCAGAUAUCGGGAGGAACACCGGUGGCGAAGGCGGUUCUCUGGGCCUUACCUGACGCUGAGGAGCGAAAGCGUGGGGAGCGAACAGG
rnacentral:rRNA from 1 species